UACGGGGGAUGCAAGCGUUAUCCGGAUUUAUUGGGUGUAAAGGGCGUGUAGGCGGGAAUGCAAGUCAGAUGUGAAAACUAUGGGCUCAACCCAUAGCCUGCAUUUGAAACUGUAUUUCUUGAGUGCUGGAGAGGCAAUCGGAAUUCCGUGUGUAGCGGUGAAAUGCGUAGAUAUACGGAGGAACACCAGUGGCGAAGGCGGAUUGCUGGACAGUAACUGACGCUGAGGCGCGAAAGCGUGGGGAGCAAACAGG
rnacentral:rRNA from 1 species